rnacentral:lncRNA from 1 species
ACCUUUAUGAGCUUGGGGCGUGGGCCGGAGACUGAUUACUUUCUUAGUCCGGCUAAGUUUGUCACUACCCCCAUUCGAAAAAAGUUGCUAACUCGAGAAAACCCAAAAAAGUGGAAUAGAAAGAAAAGAAAAAGAAGAUAAAAAGAAAGAAAAGCGAAAUUAAAGCAAGUUGUAUAUAGUAGUGUAUAGAAGUACUAGUCAAGUAAGCAAUCAAAAUAAGAAGGAAGUGUUAGCAUU